AUUUGCUUAGAUAGCACCCAAAAUGAUGUCGAGACCCAACAUAAAGGCCUUAAUACACAACCAAGGACUGAAUUGAGAAUCACACGACAUAGUAUACACAGAAUACUCAUAGACAAAGUUCCUUAGGCAAGAGUUCACUGGGAAUAGAAAUGGUGCAAAAGCCAAGCAUUUCAUGGCGUCCAGAACUUGCCAAGGAGAAUAAUCAUUAAUUUCUACAUCCGAACCUUAGUCAGAAAGCAUACUAAAGCCAGAUGGACCAGAACCGACAAAAGGACCUCGACAGCAGCAUUCCAAUUCAGAAGUGCAUCACUGUUUCUUAACAGUUUGACAACAAAUGUUUACAAAACCUAUUUACCUCCACAUCCAGUGCCAGGGAAGCUUAUGUACAUUUUCCUUCAUACUGAAGCACACAAUAUGAAUUCAUGCUGUGGCACUAUGAAAAGACCAAGACACACUGAAGAACGAGAUCUAACCAAAUCUUCAGCAGACAGGUUAUUUACAGUUUAACAAAUAACACAUUUUAUUGCUGAUCUAUGUACAACACUCUCCAACACUGGCCAGAUGAUCGCAGAAAGUAUCCUUGCACCAUCUAUUCCGGCCUGUAGUUCACCAGAUUUGGGAGCUCAGUCGACUGCAGUUUCUUGAUGUCAUUUGCAGUCACUUUGCAGGAUUCCAAGGUAAGUGAUUUCAAGUUCUUGAGUUGCUUCAGAUGUUGCAACCCUGCACUUGUUAUGCGGGAAUUUGAAA
rnacentral:lncRNA from 1 species